rnacentral:rRNA from 1 species
UACGAAGGGGGCUAGCGUUGCUCGGAAUCACUGGGCGUAAAGGGUGCGUAGGCGGGUUUUUUAAGCAGAGGUGAAAUCCUGGAGCUCAACUCCAGAACUGCCUUUGAUACUGAAAGUCUUGAGUAUGGGAGAGGUGAGUGGAACUGCGAGUGUAGAGGUGAAAAUUCGUAGAUAUUCGCAAGAACACCAGUGGCGAAGGCGGCUCACUGGCCCAUUACUGACGCUGAGGCACGAAAGCGUGGGGAAGCAAACAGGG